GAAUUUUUGAUUAACGCCUGCCGUAAGGUGGGUCAUUUGGAAG
rfam:Yersinia pestis Antiqua, complete genome.